GAUGAACGCUGGCGGCGUGCCUAAUACAUGCAAGUCGAGCGAACGGACGAGAAGCUUGCUUCUCUGAUGUUAGCGGCGGACGGGUGAGUAACACGUGGAUAACCUACCUAUAAGACUGGGAUAACUUCGGGAAACCGGAGCUAAUACCGGAUAAUAUUUUGAACCGCAUGGUUCAAAAGUGAAAGACGGUCUUGCUGUCACUUAUAGAUGGAUCCGCGCUGCAUUAGCUAGUUGGUAAGGUAACGGCUUACCAAGGCAACGAUGCAUAGCCGACCUGAGAGGGUGAUCGGCCACACUGGAACUGAGACACGGUCCAGACUCCUACGGGAGGCAGCAGUAGGGAAUCUUCCGCAAAGGGCGAAAGCCUGACGGAGCAACGCCGCGUGAGUGAUGAAGGUCUUCGGAUCGUAAAACUCUGUUAUUAGGGAAGAACGUAUGUGUAAGUAACUGUGCACAUCUUGACGGUACCUAAUCAGAAAGCCACGGCUAACUACGUG
rnacentral:rRNA from 1 species